UGAAAUAGAGCACUAAAGUAAAUAAAAGCAGAGAUUAAACCUCGUACCUUUUGCAUCAUGAUCUAGCCAGUAAUGCCAAGCAAAGAGCCCUCUAGUUUGAAACCCCGAAACCCGACGAGCUACUCCGGGACAGCCUAUUGUGGGGCCAACCCGUCUCUGUGGCAAAAGAGUGGGAAGAUCCCCGAGUAGAGGUGAAAGACCUACCGAGUCAGGUUAUAGCUGGUUGCCCAGGAAAUGAAUAGAAGUUCAGCCCCGUUUUACCCUUGCCCACCGCAGUCUUACUAAAAUUAGGUAUAAAGGAUAUAAACAGGAGUUAGUUAAAGGAGGUACAGCUCCCUUAACAAAGGAUACAACCUUCACAGGAGGCUAAGGAAUACACUUAACAAGGCCAUAGGUUUCAGUGGGCCUAAAAGCAGCCAUCUGAAUAGAAAGCGUUAAAGCUCAGACCAAAUUAAGCCUAUUAUAACAUUAAAUGCCCUCAAUGCCCCUAACAAUACUGGGCCCCCCUAUGCCCCCAUAGGAGAGACUAUGCUAGAACGAGUAAUAAGAAGAACGAACUUCUCCCCGCACAUGUGUAAGUCGAAUCGGACCCGCCAUCGACAAUUAACGAACCCAACAAAAGAGGACCAUGCAUCACCGCCACACCCGGCCAAGAAAAACACGCAAACCACCCAUCGUUAACCCCACACAGGAGUGCUUAAACAAAGGGAAAGACUUAAUGAAUAAAAAGGAACUCGGCAAACCUAAACCUCGCCUGUUUACCAAAAACAUCGCCUCCUGCCCAUAUAAAAAUAUAGGAGGUCCCGCCUGCCCUGUGACCAAAAGUUUAACGGCCGCGGUAUUUUAACCGUGCAAAGGUAGCGCAAUCAAUUGUCUUUUAAAUGGAGACCUGUAUGAAUGGCAUAACGAGGGUUUAACUGUCUCUUUUUUCUGGUCAAUGAAACUGAUCUACCCGUGCAGAAGCGGGUAUACCCACACAAGACGAGAAGACCCUAUGGAGCUUUAGACGCCCACCAACCAUGAAGAGCAGCCUGCCUAACAGGCCCCCAAACUACAUGGCCCUGGUAUAAACGUCUUCGGUUGGGGCGACCACGGGGGAAAGCAAAGCCCCCGAGAGGAUUGGGGGAAACCCUAAAACCAAGAGCCACAGCUCUAAGUCACAAAAUAUUUGACCGACAAUGAUCCGGCUUUUGCCGAUCAACGGACCAAGUUACCCUAGGGAUAACAGCGCAAUCCCCUCCCAGAGUCCAUAUCGACGAGGGGGUUUACGACCUCGAUGUUGGAUCAGGACAUCCUAAUGGUGCAGCCGCUAUUAA
rnacentral:rRNA from 1 species